CCUACGGGAGGCAGCAGUGAGGAAUAUUGGUCAAUGGGCGCGAGCCUGAACCAGCCAAGUAGCGUGAAGGAUGACUGCCCUACGGGUUGUAAACUUCUUUUAUAAAGGAAUAAAGUGAUGCACGUGUGCCUUUUUCGAUGUACUUUAUGAAUAAGGAACGGCUUACUCCGUUCCAGCAGCCGCGGUAAUACGGAGGAUUCGAGCGUUAUCCGGAUUUAUUGGGUUUAAAGGGAGGGGAGAAGGGUUGAUAAGUCAGUUGGGAAAGAUUGCGGCUCAACCGUAAAAUUGCAGUUGAUACUGGCAGUCUUGAGGAGAGUUGAGGUAGGAGGAAGUAGUGGUGGAGCGGCG
rnacentral:rRNA from 1 species